rnacentral:tRNA from 1 species
AGUGCCAUCAUCUAAUGGUUAGGACAUACGCCUUUCUAGCGUAGAAUCACAGUUCGAAUCUGUGCUUGAGUACUUAGCUACGGGUUCGAAUCCCGUUGGCACUA